GACGAACGCUGGCGGCGUGCUUAACACAUGCAAGUCGAACGGUGAAGCGCCUUCCUUUUUGGUGGGUGUGGAUGAGUGGCGAACGGGUGAGUAACACGUGAGUAACCUGCCCCCUUCUUCUGGAUAACCGCAUGAAAGUGUGGCUAAUACGGGAUAUUCUGGGUCUGUCGCAUGAUGGGUCUGGGAAAGAUAUUGUUUCGGUGGGGGAUGGGCUCGCGGCCUAUCAGCUUGUUGGUGGGGUGAUGGCCUACCAAGGCGGUGACGGGUAGCCGGCCUGAGAGGGUGGACGGUCACACUGGGACUGAGACACGGCCCAGACUCCUACGGGAGGCAGCAGUGGGGAAUAUUGCACAAUGGGCGCAAGCCUGAUGCAGCGACGCCGCGUGAGGGAUGGAGGCCUGCGGGUUGUGAACCUCUUUCGCAAGUGAAGCAGGCCUGCCUCGUUUGUGGGUGGGUUGACGGUAGCUGGAUAAGAAGCGCCGGCUAACUACGUG
rnacentral:rRNA from 1 species